GGCUCAAUGGUCCAGUGGUAAGAUACUCGCUUCGGGUUAGUACUUAUUGUUCUUCCCAAUCCCCUUAAAAGGGGUUUGAAAAUGUGAGUGGUCCCGGGUUCGAAUCCCGGUUGAGCCC